rnacentral:rRNA from 1 species
UGGGGAAUCUUGGACAAUGGGCGCAAGCCUGAUCCAGCCAUGCCGCGUGAGUGACGAAGGUCUUCGGAUUGUAAAGCUCUUUUUGGCGGGGACGAUAAUGACGGUACCCGCAGAAUAAGCCCCGGCUAACUUCGUGCCAGCAGCCGCGGUAAUACGAAGGGGGCUAGCGUUGUUCGGAAUUACUGGGCGUAAAGCGCACGUAGGCGGAUCUAUAAGUCAGGGGUGAAAUCCCGGGACUCAACCUCGGAACUGCCUUUGAUACUGUAGAUCUCGAGUCCGGAAGAGGUGAGUGGAAUUCCUAGUGUAGAGGUGAAAUUCGUAGAUAUUAGGAAGAACACCAGUGGCGAAGGCGGCUCACUGGUCCGGUACUGACGCUGAGGUGCGAAAGCGUGGGGAGCAAACAGGAUUAGAUACCCUAGUAGUCCCUGAGCGGGCUGGCAAGGCGCAU